ensembl:lncRNA
AGGAACAUAGGAGAGAGAGAAGAGGGAAAAGGGAGUAAAUAGAGAAAAGGAUAGAAGAGAUGUGAGGGGUAAAUAUAGAAGAGGAGAGGGGGAUGUGAGGGGUAAAUAUAGAAGAGGGUAGAGGGAUGUGAGGGGUAAAUAUAGAAGAGGGGAGAGGGAUGUGAGGGGUAAAUAUAGAAGAGGGGAGAGGGAUGUGGGGGGUAAAUAUAGAAGAAGAGAGAGGGAUGUGAGGGGUAAAUAUAGAAGAGGGGAGAGGGAUGUGAGGUGUAAAUAUAGAAGAGGCGAGAGGGAUGUGAGGGGUAAAUAUAGAAGAAGAGAGAGGGAUGUGAGGGGUAAAUAUAGAAGAAGAGAGAGGGAUGUGAGGGGUAAAUAUAGAAGAAG